UACUCAAUUUUGUUAACUUGCAUGGCGGAGUUACUUCAUAGUUCUUGUUGGGUUAUUUUAGUUUUUUUGUAUGAAUUACUUUUUUUGUUUGAUGUUUGAAUUGCACUAUUUCUAAUAUUGUCUGAUGAUUGUUUAAUUAGAAAUAUAAAAUUUAUUAUACUCUAAUUUGUUAAAAGUGGUAUGUGCUUGAAGAUUGGAGCUCGA
rnacentral:lncRNA from 1 species